GAUGGACGCUGGCGGCGUGCCUAAUACAUGCAAGUCGAGCGAACAGACGAUGAGCUUGCUCCUCUGACGUUAGCGGCGGACGGGUGAGUAACACGUGGAUAACCUACCUAUAAGACUGGGAUAACUUCGGGAAACCGGAGCUAAUACCGGAUAAUAUAUUGAACCGCAUGGUUCAAUAGUGAAAGACGGUUUUGCUGUCACUUAUAGAUGGAUCCGCGCCGCAUUAGCUAGUUGGUAAGGUAACGGCUUACCAAGGCAACGAUGCGUAGCCGACCUGAGAGGGUGAUCGGCCACACUGGAACUGAGACACGGUCCAGACUCCUACGGGAGGCAGCAGUAGGGAAUCUUCCGCAAUGGGCGAAAGCCUGACGGAGCAACGCCGCGUGAGUGAUGAAGGUCUUCGGAUCGUAAAACUCUGUUAUUAGGGAAGAACAAAUGUGUAAGUAACUAUGCACGUCUUGACGGUACCUAAUCAGAAAGCCACGGCUAACUACGUG
rnacentral:rRNA from 1 species